UCCAGGGUAGCCUAGUGGACAUGGCACCGUAAGCGGAACAUUGUGGGUUCGAUUCCAAUCCCUGUAC